GCAAACAUCAUCUGUUAUGCAGCCUACUAUGAUGCAAUCGGUAAUUUCUGGUCUUCAACAGAGUCAGCCACCUGCUGUUCAACAAUCAACGCAAUCGAUGCUUCAACAACAUUCACACUCAGUCCUCAGGCAGCAACAACAACUGCAACAGCCUGCUAGCAUUCAUCAACAGCAAACACCAAUGAUGCAGCAGCAACUGUUGC
rnacentral:misc_RNA from 1 species